CGAUCAGUUUGGUCGCAGGUGUUCGUACUUAACUGAUGACCGAACAUUACUUUACCCCCUGUGUUCUGCUGCGCUCACUAAACGCCAGGCAGCAGGAGAAGCUGACGCUCACAGCGGUGGCUGCGGAAACACAAGGCCCAAAUUACUUCCACUGAAUGUGUGACGUUGUUUUAAACGUGAUUUUGCGGCAAAAAAGUGUUUGUUCCGACAUUGACCGAACUCAACCGCGGUCUUUCGUUUGAAGUUUUAACCGCGGGAGGAGUUCUAAAAUGGCGGCUGGAUUCGGAUUCGGAUCGCAAAAUCGGAGAAAUUCAACUGCUUCGGAGAAAAGGUCGAAGCCGUCCAUCAAAAGACCUGACGUCCACGCAAUACAAGUUUGAUCAUCAUGAAGAUCUUCAACACAGUAGGGAACAUCGUUUUCUUUUUUUACUUAUGGGUGGCCGCCGUGCCCCCGUUUGCUGUGUUUGGCCGCCGUGCCACAACAGAGGCUGCCGUGCCUUGCAUUGUGUAGUAUUU